rnacentral:misc_RNA from 1 species
GUACCUACGGUUACGCAUUUUACCCUUUCCAGGACGAAUAGCAUGGCUAUCCUUAGCUUUCUCAGCAUCUGGGUAAGCACCAAUUUGCUUCAAAGCUUUGAUAGCAACGCUAGUCUUCUCAAUACCCUCAAUUGAAUCAGAAACAACGAGAGGUAACUCAGGGACCGAUUCAAUACGGUGACCACGAGCGAGAACCAAUGAAGGAACGGAAGAUGCAGCAAUAGCUGAAGCAACAGCAUACCUUUUCUGGUUAACAGGGAUCUUCCUAUGCCAUCGGCGCCAGGUCUGAGUCGGAGCGAACAUCCGUCCACCACGACACAUGUUACCGAAAGCUCCCUGUCCAGCACGGUGAGUACCACCACCA